rnacentral:miRNA from 1 species
UACCUCAAAAAACCACAACAGUCUGUUUCACCACCUGAUGAUUCCUAUUCGGAUGAAACAGACUGUUGUGGUUUUU